rnacentral:rRNA from 1 species
AUACGGAGGGUGCAAGCGUUAAUCGGAAUUACUGGGCGUAAAGCGUACGUAGGCGGUUCGUUAAGUUAGAUGUGAAAGCCCCGGGCUUAACCUGGGAACUGCAUUUAAAACUGGCGGACUAGAGUUGAGUAGAGGGGAGUGGAAUUUCAGGUGUAGCGGUGAAAUGCGUAGAGAUCUGAAGGAACACCAGUGGCGAAGGCGACUCCCUGGACUCGAACUGACGCUGAGGUACGAAAGCGUGGGGAGCAAACAGGAUUAGAAACCCGAGUAGUCC